CGACGGAUGCUGGGUAUAUUAAUUAUUUGCAACAACGGGGGAAAAAAAAAUAAAAAUAAAAGACGUUGUUCCGGUAAGGUCACCCUUUGAAAAAAAAAUGGUACGCACAAGGUGUAUCUAAACUUUUAAUGGACCCACAGGAUGAUGAUGUCGGUUUAAAUGGAGAACGUCGAACUAGCACUCUCGCACUACUUCUGAAAUCCCGAAACGCUAACUUAUUUGUCGGUUAUUUUUAAAAUACUGUUCACACACGUUCGGCAAUGUUCGCCGAAACAAAAACAAAAACAAAA